rnacentral:rRNA from 1 species
GACGAAGGGGGCUAGCGUUGUUCGGAAUUACUGGGCGUAAAGCGCGUGUAGGCGGUUGCCAAAGUCGGGUGUGAAAGCCUUGAGCUCAACUCAAGAAUUGCACUCGAUACUUGGUGACUAGAGGACCGGAGAGGAUAGUGGAAUUCCCAGUGUAGUGGUGAAAUACGUAGAGAUUGGGAAGAACACCAGUGGCGAAGGCGGCUAUCUGGACGGUUUCUGACGCUAAGACGCGAAAGCGUGGGGAGCAGACAGG